UACGUAGGGGGCAAGCGUUGUCCGGAUUUAUUGGGCGUAAAGAGCGUGUAGGCGGCUUUACAGGUCCGUUGUGAAAACUCGAGGCUCAACCUCGAGACGCCGGUGGAAACCGUAAAGCUAGAGUCCGGAAGAGGAGAGUGGAAUUCCUGGUGUAGCGGUGAAAUGCGCAGAUAUCAGGAAGAACACCCGUGGCGAAGGCGGCUCUCUGGGACGGUACUGACGCUGAGGCGCGAAAGCGUGGGGAGCAAACAGG
rnacentral:rRNA from 1 species